GUGCGCGCGGCGCUCCCAGCGGCCCUAAAUUACAGACGCCGCCAUGAUGGAGGAGGGGGGAGCGAAAGGGCAUCAGCAUAGAGAGCUCACCAGCACAACUGAUCAUGGAGACUCAAGGCUGCAAACACGCUCCAGCAUAGAGUACACAGGAGGUGGUGGAUCUUAUUGCUGUCUGGGGAGAAGAGUCUGUGCAGGCAGAGCUCCAGUCCAGCAGAAGAAACGCUGACAUUUAUGCCAAGAUUGUGCAGGGCAUGGUGGAGAAGGGCUACACCAGGAACACGCAGCAGUGCCUUGUGAAAAUAAAGGAGGGUACCAGAAGACAAGGGAGGUGAACAGUUGUUCUGGUUCUGCCUAACAGACAUGCCACUUUAAUGAGGAGCUGCAUGCGAUUCUCAGUGGCAACCGCACAACUACCCCAAAACGUUCAGUGGAUACCUCCCAGGCGACCUCAAGCAACAACGAGGAGGACAUUGUUGACAAGGAAGAGGAGGAAAAUGUAAGUAGGACAUUUUCCCGUGCCACUCCAGUAUUAACUCUACUGGCAUAAUUGCAGCAUACAGCAUUCCAGCAUAAGGACCAGCUGAAACCUUGUCCGUCGGGUGCAUCCUCUACACUGGGACAGAGAGUUUCCCAGAUUAGAAGGCAGAAACAGAAGACUUUGGAGGACAUGUUCAAUGAGUUAAUGCACACCUCAGGGAGUGACAAGACGGAGCUCAGAGCAUGAAGGAUUACACUGUCCAAGGACAUGGACAGGGAGGACAGGCGAGUAUGUAAGGAACAAGAACGUGCCAUGCAGGAAGAGAUGCUGCGGAUUAUGAAGGAGCAGUCAGACAUGUUGAGGCAUCUGGCUGAAGUUUAAGAAAGGCAGCUGGAUGCUAGAAUCCCUCUGCAGCCUAUGCUGAACCUGCUGCCAUCAUUGCCCAGUUCUACAUCCUCCUCUCCCAAAUGUCCUAUGAGGCGGGGGGGGUGGAGGGGCGAGGGAGAGUUCGCUAUCCCUUGCACUCAACACAAGAGGAGGGCACAAGGACCAGAAGGUGCCCAUUCCCACACCUUCGAUUGUUAUUGUAAUGCAUCUGUAAGCAAGCUUUCCUUGUUUCUCCCCCCACAGUGUUAUCAGCCCUUUUGCCCCAGGUUAUCUUAC